CCUAUUUAUUAGCUGCCCCAUAACACGGGUGACCGGAGACUUGGUGCUACAUUAAAAGACGACGAACCGACUUAACGUUGAAACCUCGUCCCACAGGCCUACGUGGCACACGUUUCACCGUACAUCUAUCACCCCUCUUCUUUACACAAAAUCAAAACCAAACAAGAAGUCAAUGCACAACUCAAAACAACAAUGAUUUCUUCUUCCAUUUUCUUGAGGGAUUAUGCUAAGUGGGAACUCAACGCCUUUCUUUGGAUAUCUCUCAUCACGAUCACUGUGCUUUUGUUGAAAAAAGUUUUCAAAUUGUUCACUCUGUGGUUCCAGGCUAAGUCCAUUCCUGGUCCGCCUUGUUCUUCCUUUUAUGGACAUACCCACCUCCUUUCUGGAAGGAGUUUCACUGAGGUUUUGUCACGAUUGCAUGAAAAGUAUGGAUCGGUUGUCAAGGUUUGGUUGGGUCCAACUAAAUUGUUGGUGUCUGUUAAAGAGCCGGUGCUUAUUAAAGAGAUGCUUUUGAAGGCUGAGGAUAAAUUGCCUUUGACUGGAAGGGCUUUCAGUUUGGCCUUUGGACAGUCCAGCCUCUUCGCCUCAUCGUUUGAUAAGGUGCAAAAUAGACGAGAAUCGUUAGCAUUGGAGUUGAAUGAAAGGUUUCUUGAAAGAGAAAAUGUAAUUCCUACUAGGGUCGUGGACUCUGUCAUGGAUAGAAUACAUGGGAUCUUGGGCAAAGCAAGUUCUGAUUGUAAAAUGGUUUCUCAACACAUGGCUUUUACUAUGUUGGGAGCCACAAUUUUUGGUGAUGCCUUUUUGGCUUGGCCUAAGGCAACUGUUUAUGAGGAGCUUCUUAUGACAAUAGCUAAGGAUGCUUGCUUUUGGGCCUCUUAUAGUGUUACUCCCUUCUGGAAACGUGGAUUUUGGAGGUACCAGCAUCUGUGCUCAAGAUUGAAAUGCUUAACACAAGAUAUUGUUCAACAAUGCCAGAAAAACUGCAAGCUGUUUUGUCAUUUGGAUCAAAGCUCCCAUAAUGAAACCUCAAAUACCAGAAUGGAAACUGCAUUAGGUGGAAUGUCUUGUUCUGAUAUUCCUUUACUUGAUAACUUAUUCUCACAAGAGCUUAAUGGGAAUCUUAAUGUCGGAGAAGAACCAUGUGGUAAUCUUAUGGGUGUGAUGUUUCAUGGAUACUUAACCACGACUGGUUUGAUAGUUAAUAUCCUGGCAAGGCUUGCUAUACAUCAGGAGAUACAAGAUAAGAUAUUUGAGGAGAUAAUUAUGGCACGAAAGGGGUCUGUGAAGCAAGAACAACAAUGUGUUGGUAAGAUGCUCCUAUUAUUAGCAACCGUUUAUGAAUCUGCUCGGCUUCUGCCUGCAGGAGCUUUGUUACAGAGAUGCUCUCUGAAACAUGAUUUGACUCUUAAAAAUGGUGUGACUAUUCCAACUGGAGCCAUGCUGGUUGUACCUGUACAGUUGGUACAAACAGACAAGCGUAGUUGGGGAAGUGAUUCUAGCCAAUUUAAUCCAUAUCGUUUUUUGUCGGAGAUUGGAAAGCAACCUGAUAAAUUGUGCAAUACAUCAUUGACAGGUGCUGCAAAGGAGGACAUGGAUCUAAGAAAUACCUCAUUCAUUUUGAAGGAUCCGAAUGACAAUGCAGCAUUUCUUCCCUUUGGUUCUGGCAGUCGUGCCUGUGUUGGCCAGAAAUUUGUUAUUCAUGGAGUUGCUACUUUAUUUGCAUCACUGCUCGAAAGCUAUGAGUGCUUAGCCUCACAGGUUAUCGUACAAAUGUUAGUGUUUGAUAAUAUGGCUCCAAUGAAAUUUAUUGCUCCCAUUUGAAACUUAGUAGCUGUUUGGGUACUGGUGUUUGACCGUCGGCUUUCUUAAAGAUAAGGCUGCAGCCAGGGUCGGAGAAGAACCCAAAACCAAUUAUGAACAGUUGUGUUUACCAGCUUCUUCCUAGUGUUGACAUAAUUUUCGUGCGAAGAAACGCCUAAAAUUGAGAAGGCACACACAUGCUAUGUCUCUUACUAAAUCAUUUGUCAAAUUAAUUUUUCCUAAUGGGGAAGAUGUUGUGUUUUAGGCUCAUUAGCUGUUAUGGGGGAAUCAUGUCUGCAUGAGUACAGUUUUGUGACUCAUUUUUUUAAAUUCCCUCACUGCUUUUAAAUUUGUUUUUUAUGCCUUGUGAGCCUGUUUAUGUAUUUGUUGUUUUCUUCCUCAUCUUUGAACUUGAAAAAGACUUGUUAUCUUUCAACUUUUUUCUCUCCAGAAAAGAGGGUUCAUAUUGUAUCACCA